UACGGGGGGGGCAAGCGUUGUUCGGAAUUACUGGGCGUAAAGAGCGUGUAGGCGGCCAUGCAGGUCCGUUGUGAAAACUCGAGGCUCAACCUCGAGACGUCGAUGGAAACCGCAUGGCUAGAGUCCGGAAGAGGAGAGUGGAAUUCCUGGUGUAGCGGUGAAAUGCGCAGAUAUCAGGAAGAACACCCGUGGCGAAGGCGGCUCUCUGGGACGGUACUGACGCUGAGACGCGAAAGCGUGGGGAGCAAACAGG
rnacentral:rRNA from 1 species